rnacentral:misc_RNA from 1 species
GAUGAAACGUAGCGAAAUGCGAUAAGUAAUGUGAAUUGCAGAAUUCAGUGAAUCAUCGAAUCUUUGAACGCACCUUGCGCCCUUUGGACAUUCCGAAGGGCAUGCCUGUUUGAGUAUCAUGAACACCUCAACUCUCACGGCUUGUCCGUGAUGAGCUUGGACUUUGGGGGUCUUGCCGGCCUGUGGUCGGCUCCUCUCAAAUGGAUCAGCUUGCCAGUGUUUGGUGGCAUCACAGGUGUGAUAACUAUCUGCGCUUGUGGUUUUCCAUCAGAUAACCUUCAGUGAUAUGGAGGUUCGCUGGAGCUCACAAAUGUCUCUCCUUAGUGAGGACAGCUCUUUGAACGUUUGAUCUCAAAUCAGGUAGGACUACCCGCUGAACUUAAGCAUAUCAAUAAGCGGAGGA